rnacentral:rRNA from 1 species
UACGUAGGGCGCAAGCGUUGUCCGGAAUUAUUGGGCGUAAAGAGCUCGUAGGCGGCUUGUCACGUCGGAUGUGAAAGCCCGAGGCUUAACCUCGGGUCUGCAUUCGAUACGGGCUAGCUAGAGUGUGGUAGGGGAGAUCGGAAUUCCUGGUGUAGCGGUGAAAUGCGCAGAUAUCAGGAGGAACACCGGUGGCGAAGGCGGAUCUCUGGGCCAUUACUGACGCUGAGGAGCGAAAGCGUGGGGAGCGAA